UACGGGGGGGGCAAGCGUUGUUCGGAAUUACUGGGCGUAAAGGGCUCGUAGGCGGCCAACUAAGUCGAACGUGAAAUCCCUGGGCUCAACCCAGGAACUGCGUCCGAUACUGGUUGGCUUGAAUCCGGGAGAGGGAUGUGGAAUUCCAGGUGUAGCGGUGAAAUGCGUAGAUAUCUGGAGGAACACCGGUGGCGAAGGCGACAUCCUGGACCGGCAUUGACGCUGAGGCGCGAAAGCCAGGGGAGCAAACGGG
rnacentral:rRNA from 1 species